GUCAUCAUCUAGCAGAAAGAAGUUGAGGACCUUUUGCAACAAUGGUGUGGCAUCUUGGUUAGAUGUUAACCAUGAUAUGCUUUUUUUUAAUUAUGAUGAAACUGGGAGUAGUUGAUUUUUUUUUCGUUCAGUGGAGUUUGCAAGUCAUGGAGGUCAUUUACAGUUUCUAACAGGAACACGUUUAUGGCGUCCAAACCACCCAUGAAGAUAAGCAUCGGGCCCCUCCUUAAUAAGGAAGACUCCUAUUAUUUCCUUGAGGAAUUCAAAGAAAGAAGAUUUAAAACCAUUUUUCCCCAUUCUUUUGGCAGGACCUAUUUUGGAUCAACUUGUGGCUACCUUAUCUUAUUCGAUAGGGAAACCCGCGACUUCUAGCUUGUGAAUCCUAUCACAAGAGAUGAACUUCAUUUCCCCAAUUACCCCUUAAGUGUAGGUGCUCAUGAAAAAGGAAUGACGGCUAUCAAGGGUAUCCUUGUCUUUUCACCUUCAAUAUCUAGGCGGGUGUUUGUUGUCUUAUGUACACAAAUGGUAUCUUUUUCUAUUGUGGAUAAACAAGGAUGGAAUCAUAGAUCCGCUAGCCCCACUCCCUAUAUCCUUGAUUUACAUGUUAUAAAGGGGAAGAUAUAUAGCAUACACAUGGAUUUUUCUUUAUGUGAACUCAGACUCGAUCAGGAUCAAAAUCUCAAAUGGACUUUACUCGAAACCAAAAAUUAUCCAAAGAAAAACUGGUUUCCACCAGAGUUUGCUCAGUUCUUGUGUUGCUAUUAAACCGGAGUCAUGGCCUGAAACUCGGACACCAUACAGGGGCUGUGGUUACUUUCUUGAUGACAAUAAAAGUCAACAGUGCAUGUUCUUUUAUGAAUGGAUGUGGUACUUCCCCCAUGAUUGUUUCAGUGUUAAUGUCUUAGAUGAGUGAUCGCUUCUUAUCACUCUUAUCUUUCUUUUGUUAAUUCCUAUCUGUGCAACAUUUUCAAAACCUUAAGAACCACUAGUGUACGUGAAUAAUCUUGCAAUUUAUUAUUUAAAUAUAUUUUUUUGCUCUUUUGUGGGUUUUGUUUUGCUGGUUAACCUUUCGGAAAUUUCGAACUGGGCUUCUCUUA